rnacentral:rRNA from 1 species
UACGGGGGGGGCAAGCGUUGUUCGGAAUUACUGGGCGUAAAGGGCUCGUAGGUGGCCAACUAAGUCAUACGUGAAAUCCCUCAGCUUAACUGGGGAACUGCGCCUGAUACUGGUUGGCUUGAGUUUGGGAGAGGGACGCGGAAUUCCAGGUGUAGCGGUGAAAUGCGUAGAUAUGACAUAGAAUACCAAUUGCGAAGGCAGCUGGCUACACGAAUAUUGACACUCAGGCACGAAAGCGUGGGGAUCAAACAGG